rnacentral:rRNA from 1 species
CCUACGGGAGGCAGCAGUGGGGAAUUUUGGACAAUGGGCGAAAGCCUGAUCCAGCAAUGCCGCGUGAGUGAAGAAGGCCUUCGGGUUGUAAAGCUCUUUUGUCAGGGAAGAAACGGUGAAAGCUAAUAUCUUUUGCUAAUGACGGUACCUGAAGAAUAAGCACCGGCUAACUACGUGCCAGCAGCCGCGGUAAUACGUAGGGUGCAAGCGUUAAUCGGAAUUACUGGGCGUAAAGCGUGCGCAGGCGGUUUUGUAAGUCUGAUGUGAAAUCCCCGGGCUCAACCUGGGAAUUGCAUUGGAGACUGCAAGGCUAGAAUCUGGCAGAGGGGGGUAGAAUUCCACGUGUAGCAGUGAAAUGCGUAGAUAUGUGGAGGAACACCGAUGGCGAAGGCAGCCCCCUGGGUCAAGAUUGACGCUCAUGCACGAAAGCGUGGGGAGCAAACAGGAUUAGAUACCCUGGUAGUCCACGCCCUAAACGAUGUCUACUAGUUGUCGGGUCUUAAUUGACUUGGUAACGCAGCUAACGCGUGAAGUAGACCGCCUGGGGGNGGUACGGUCGCGAGAGUAAACGUAACGAAAGAAGUAGUAGACGUCGAGAGAGACGACGACGGACGACGACGGGAGGGAGGGAGG